rnacentral:rRNA from 1 species
CCUACGGGGCGCAGCAGUGAGGAAUAUUGGUCAAUGGGCGGGAGCCUGAACCAGCCAAGUCGCGUGAGGGAAGACGGUCCUAUGGAUUGUAAACCUCUUUAGGCGGGGAGCAAUGCCGGGCACGCGUGCCCGGCGGGAGAGUACCCGCAGAAUAAGCAGCGGCUAACUCCGUGCGAGCAGCCGCGGUAAUACGGAGGAGGCGAGCGUUAUUCGGAUUUAGUGGGUUUAAAGGGUGCGUAGGCGGAUUUUUAAGUCAGCGGUAAAAUGUCCGGGCUCAACCCGGGCCGGCCGUUGAAACUGGGGAUCUUGAGUGUGCGAGAGGUAUGCGGAAUGCGUGGUGUAGCGGUGAAAUGCAUCGAUAUCACGCAGAACUCCGAUUGCGAAGGCAGCAUACCGGCGCCCGACUGACGCUGAGGCACGAAAGCGUGGGGAUCGAACAGGAUUAGAUACCCGAGUAGUC